rnacentral:misc_RNA from 1 species
GCCUCAGUUGGCGGCCGAGGACGGUCGUGUACAGGUCGCCGCCAUCCGCUCCGGUAACCGCGCGCCACGCACCCGGCGCCACGCCACCCCACGCCAACGCGACAGUGGUGCACGCCCUCACCACCACGACCACACACCAGAGGUAACACCAAAGACUCCAAACAGUCCAUACAAAGUUGAGAACGACUUCACGCCAAACUACAAAAGUUUGACCAAAGCGCCGCGUCGCGAUGCAGGGCGGGGCGUGAAGGAGCGACGGAGGCGCCUGCCGCUCCAGGACGCCCGUGCAGGCCACCUUCUCGUGCUCCCGUGCCCACGACUAGCACACUAUACCCUGGCAGGGUCUCGGUGAUGCAGGGGACGCGGUGAGUGGCAGGUGAGGGUGAGGGUGGAGCGUCACCGCCUCACUUUGCCUCGUCGUGACUCAGUCUCGCCUCGCCCCGCUCCAGGUGAGGGUGCACUUCCAACACCUGCCACCCAGACACUUUUAAAGCGUUCAUCCUAUAUUUUUAAUGAUAAGAAUCUGAUUUCAAUAUUUUUGUACAAACUUUAGGAAAUUGUUGCAAGAAAACCUUUUGACCUACAAAACUUUUUGCUACAUCUGACAUGUGAGCUGGAGCAGCCACUCUGAACGGUCCCUCUUGAGCCCUGGCGGCGAUGACGCUCGACUUGACACAGUGAUAAAUGAUGCACACCGCACACACUCACCGUCUCCUGCCGGCGGCCGCGACGCUCCGCGCGCACCACACAUGCUCUCGGGCGUGAGCAGUAAAACCACUGACUGAUCCCAACGAUCGGAGGAAAGCAUGGAGUGAGAGUCCUUGGGGCGUGAUCAAACCAAGACAACCACACUACCUAAGCCUUCCACCGUGUUGGCGUGCAAUCGUGCGGGGCCCUCCUCCUCUUAGCCUUCCUCUGCUCCUCUCCGCCGCCACCAUGGAGCUCAUAGCAGAACCCAUUCUGGAUCUGGAGAGCUCGGCGAACGCCACCUCCGUGCUGACUGCGGCACACGAUUGGUGGAACAACACCGACGUGAACCUUGACGUGCACAUGAACUGUUCACGGACCUUCUGCCCCACCGAUAACUUCACCAACGGCACGUGCGUGGAAUGUCUGCCGGACGACGUGGGCAACAAGUACAACCUGCCGUGGUGGAACGAACUCAUCUGGUACGUGGUGUUCAUGGGCAUGGUGAUAGUGGCGACGGGGGGGAACACCAUCGUCAUUUGGAUAGUGCUGGCGGACCAACGCAUGCGCACCGUCACCAACAUCUUCCUGGUGAACCUCUCGGUGGCCGACGCGAUGGUCUCCACCCUCAAUGUGGUCUUCAACUUUACCUACAUGCUCAACCUCAACUGGCGCUUCGGCUUCGUCUACUGUAAGAUCAGCCAGUUCGUGUCUAUCCUGUCUAUCUGCGCCUCAGUCUUCACCCUCAUGGCCAUCUCCUUCGACAGAUACAUUGCCAUCAUGCACCCGCUCCGGCCACGCAUGGGGAGGAAAGCCACCAUCCUCAUCGUGGUGUGGAUAUGGGUCUCGUCCGUCUGCCUCUCGCUUCCUAAUCUCAUCUACUUCACCACCGCCACUCUCAGCUACGCCGGCGGGGAGAGGAUUGUCUGCUACGCCGCCUGGCCGGAUGGGGACCAGGGCGAGAGUCAAUCUGAAUACGUACACACAGUGGUGCUGAUGGUGCUGACUUAUAUCCUGCCGCUCACGUGCAUGGGCUUCACCUAUGUGCGCAUCGGGCUUACGUUGUGGGGCAGCCGUAGUAUCGGAGAGCAGACGCCCCGACAGGUGGAGAGCAUCAAGUCCAAGAGGAAGGUGGUAAAGAUGAUGAUCGUGGUGGUGACAAUCUUCGCUGUGUGUUGGCUGCCCUACCAUAUGUACUUCAUCCUCUCCAACUUGAUGCCGGAGAUUGCCCACUACGAGUUUAUCCAAGAGACUUAUCUGGCUAUUUACUGGCUAGCUAUGUCCAACUCUAUGUACAACCCAAUGAUUUAUUGCUGGCUCAACAACAGGUUCCGCAACGGGUUCAAGAAGGUGUUCUCGGGGUGGCUGCCGUGUGUCACCUACGAGGGCGAGGCCACUGAUGUGAGCCGCGUCAAGACGGCGCGCUUCUCCUGCUCUGGCUCGCCCGAGACUCACCAUCGAGUGACGUGCGAUGGGACCAGAUCUUCUCGAACCUCCUUCAGUUUUGUGUGAGGUAUCUGGACCACCCCAACACAACCACCUCUCCCUCCAACACCACACCCGCUCCUCGCACAUCUCCAUGCGCAACCUCGCCUCCUCAGACCUCAGCAUCAGCGGCUCGCGGCUUCCCCCAGUCAGGCUUUGCAACGGAGCCAACAUACGCAGAGCGACCAACGGCGCCGACACCUCCCGGAGCUACGG